rnacentral:rRNA from 1 species
AUACGGGGGGUGCAAGCGUUAAUCGGAAUUACUGGGCGUAAAGCGCGCGUAGGCGGUUUGCUCAGUCGGAUGUGAAAGCCCAGGGCUCAACCUUGGAACUGCAUACGAUACUGGCAAACUAGAGUGUGAGAGAGGAUAGUGGAAUUUCCGGUGUAGCGGUGAAAUACGUAGAUAUCGGAAGGAACAUCAGUGGCGAAGGCGACUGUCUGGCUCAACACUGACGCUGAGGUGCGAAAGCGUGGGUAGCAAACAGGAUUAGAUACCCUAGUAGUCC